CUUUAGUUAGUAUAGUAGUGGUGUACAUUUGCCUUCCAAGCAGAAAGCCUGAUAGUAAGCAGACUAAAGA
rnacentral:tRNA from 1 species